rnacentral:lncRNA from 1 species
GUCCGGGCUUCAGCUCCGUGACCACAGCACAGUUAAUAAUGUAUUUCCACCGCACACGUCUCACCGAUGCCAAAAGGAGGAAGGCCAGCAUAGAGGCACUGAAGGGAGCAGGGUCACCAGGAUGAUGUCAUAAUACAGAGCCACCAGGAUGUUGUCAGCACUCAUCCAGAACUUAUCAGAGGGAACAACACUGAACAUUCCUUGAAUGCUGGUCACUACCAUUAAAGAUCCAUCUUGG